GUUGACCUCGAAUCAGGUAGGAAUACCCGC
rnacentral:rRNA from 1 species